UUGCAAAAUGAUCUCAUGUCUUUUUCUCUCAUUUGUUGUGCAGCUCCUCUUUCAGAUACCGAACCCUACUCCACGCAGAACGUGGAGGGAGUCUUACUCAACACAAUUUUUUUUUUUUAUCAGAUGUAAACUUAGUUGACCUUCUCAGCUCUAUUCAAUUACCUUUCUUUCAGAAAGCACUGCCUGUAUCUCAGACCACCCACCACUGCUGCCUUUGGGAGUUGUGUGGCUGGCUCCUAUUUGUGAGUAGCUGUUGAACCUACUGGUGCUGAGCCACCCUCUAUUUCUAGGCUGGGUUGAAACACCACCGUGCAGAGCCGAAACUUUAGUUUCCCUGAAGGGAUGGAAGAUGCAACUUCAAGUGUGAACUCCAUACCAGGUGUUCCUCUCCAUACACUUUUUACACUGCUCACUCCCUCAGUGUCUGCUUCCCAGAGAGCCCAGCCAGCACAGAUGGUACUAGAAGUAGUCCAAGAAAACAAGAAGAUGGGAUUUGGAGACUAGAUCACUCCCCACCUGACUAGCAAUAAGCAUCCCAUUCUGAGUGAUGGGUAUAGCACAGAGAGCCCCUACCAAAAGGGAUGAACCUGCAACCUUGGCUAUCGGGAUGAUGCUCGAACCAACUGACCUGCCCAGCCAGGGCUGUUAUGAAGUUUCACCCUAUAGACAUAACGAAAAGCUGUAACUAACUUUGUUUAUUGACACUCUCAGGACAAGAUAAUUUAAUAUUUAAGCUAUGACCCUAGAGCAGGGGUGGGCAAACUUUUUGACUCGAGGGCCACAAUGGGUUCUUAAACUGGACCGGAGGGCCGGAACAAA